CAGCUGGAGGAGAUCUCUGCUUGGUGUAAAGAGGAAGGUCUUCCUCCUGACUCCUCAAAGGAAGCUCAGCUGUGUUUGCUAUGGCGUGCCCUUCAGCACACGAUGAGCCGCCUCAGCAAAGUGACCAGAGACCUGGAAACCCACCGCUCUCAGCACUUAGCAGAAAUGGCGGAGGUACGCAAGUCGCUGGAGCAGAUCAGAUUCUUCACGGAGCACAAAAAUGUUUUGGCUCAGGAGAUACAAGAAGAGAAUGAUCACCUUAAGGAGCAGCUGCGGCACCUAAUAUCACUUCAAGAUGCCCAGAUUAGCGAGGUGGCUAAAAUGCUGUACCAACAGGGUCUCACAGAGUUGAUUCACAGCAGCCCCAGUGAGCAGGUGGCAUACCUCCUGGUGGAGAGGGCUUCCCUGCUUGAGACAAGUGAGCUUACAGACAAGGUGAAGGGAUAUGGAAACACAGCCAAUCAUAUGGGGACAGGAGCACAAGUGAAGAGGACCGGCGUAUCCCAGGCUGCCCACAAGGGGGCACCACGUCAUGGGCAGAGCGCAUGGAAAAAACUCUUUGGACUCAAGUCUUCACAGAACAAACAUACUUUUAUUCCUUGUUAUUUAGCUCUGUUCUGAGCACAGGUUAGGGAAUUUGCAUGGCAGAAGAAUUUCAAGAUACUACCCGACUGAUGCAUCUUGACACACUGCACUUCUCAAGGCUGAGGCCAGAUUUUUGGCUGGCCAGGAAAGCAGUUUGGGGAGAGAAUGCUCCCGGCUGGAGCGGGACCUGGAGGAGGGCUCCCGUCGGCUGGCAAUGGCGCACAAUGAGAUCCGGCGUUUGACUGAUGAGCUGGAGUCUGCUCAUUUGACCCAGAGAGCGUAUGCUUUUCCUGGAGGCAUUUUGUUCCUUCCAUUCAUGGAAAUAUUGCAGGAAUGCCCUGAGGGAAUUUCUUCGAAUUUGGAGUAGACGUUCACUGUGACUUAAUCCUGAGAGCCUGAGCUGCAAUCAGCACAGCAGGAGGUGGAGCAGCUCCGGCAGGAGGUAGAAAAGCUGAAGAAAUAUGAAAUUGUGGAAUUGCGAAAGACCAAAGAGCUAAAUGAUCGCCUGGACCUCGAGAUCCGAGCCUUGAGGAAUAGGGUUCGCUCAUUGGAUGCUGAGAAAACCUCUUUGCAGCAGACGGUCGUGUCGCUGCAAGAAGAAGCAGAGCAGCUGAAGGCAGCCUUACAGGAGGAGCUCCUAACUAAACAGGCUCCAGCCAAACAAGUAACAGAGAUGACUGAAGUUGUGUCUCUAAAGAAGAAGGCAGAGCGACUGGAGUCAGCCCUACAAGAGCAGCAGCAGCAACUUCUCACUGUGCAAGUUCAGGCCAACCAUGCCAACGAAUUAGCCAAAAUACAUUCUCUUCAGCAGCAGGUUGACUGUGCCCAAACCAGCGUGGAUAACCUUGUGCUAAAUAUCAACAGCAGUGAAGACAUCCCGCAGGAUCAAAAGCUGCUGAAACAAAAAAAGGCAGAUCCCCAUCUUUUUGUAAACACUCAGUCGCAUGACUCCUUUAUGACAGCGGAUGAAGAGCCACAGACGAUAAAGUACGAAGAAAACGCACCACAAAAGGAGUGUAUUAACUGUCAACAAGCAAUGAAAACUCUGCUGUCCUCCCAAGAGGAGUGUGAGGCACUUAAAAAGGAGAUCUGCGAAACCCUGAAAUGCAUUGAUGAGGAGCGAAGCAAAUUCCACAAGAUGAAGCAAAAACACAAGGCCAAACUUUGCAGAGCCAAACAGAAAUUUGAAGAUGAAACCACAUGGCGUGAUGAGAAGAUAAAAAGUCUAGAGAGAGAAUUGUCCUUGUGCUGUCAUUCAGUAGCAAAGGAGAAGGAGCUUGUCAUAAGCAUAACUGUGGAAAAUGAGAAACUACUCUCUGAGAGGAGGAAGCUACUGCAACAGCUAAACGAGGAGGAGCACAAGAAGAAGGAUAGUUGUCUAAAAGCUUCUUUAUCCAAAUGCAGGGUGGAACUUUUAGAGCUGGAAAACAAGAAACUCGGAAACCAAAUAUCACAAAUGUCCAACCAGCUCGCUGUCCUGGAGUUCAGCCUGCAGAAGACACAGCUGCUUCACUUUGCUGAGAAACUUAAGAAAAUGCCAGAUGACCAGCAAGUUUUCAAGUCUCUUCCUCAGCAGUCUUCAAGUGUGAUUUCACCCGAGCUGUCUGAAGCUCAGGGCUUGUUGGAUGGUACACUUAGAGGUCACUCCAAGCAGACAGAUGGGACUUGUUACAGUCAUGCGUCUGAGAUUUUGUGUCAGUCAGCAGAUAUGAGCUACCUGAACCUGACCUCCACACAAAAAAACCACUUGGACCGCUCACCUCCCCUGGCUGCCCUCAGCAGCCUUGAAAAUCUGCCUUCCUGAAGUUUUCUGUUUUGAGUGUGAUCAUGAACUAUUUUAUUUGUAUGUUAAA
ensembl:lncRNA